CCUCAGCACGCUUGGUAACCGUGCGUAGAGUGCAAUGGCAUAAGGAAGCUUGACUGAGAGACAUACAGAUCGAUCAGGUUGGAAACAAGAGCAUAGUGAUCCGGUGGUUCCGCAUGGAAGGGCCAUCGCUCAAAGGAUAAAAGGUACGCCGGGGAUAACAGGCUGAUCUCCCCCAAGAGCUCACAUCGACGGGGGGGUUUGGCACCUCGAUGUCGGCUCGUCACAUCCUGGGGCUGGAGAAGGUCCCUAGGGUUGGGCUGUUCUCCCAUUAAAGUGGCACGCGAGCUGGGUUUAGAACGUCGUGAGACAGUUCGGUCUCUAUCUGUAGUGGGCGCUAGAAAUUUGAGUGAAUCUGACUUUAGUACGAGAGGACCGAGUUGGACUGACCGCUGGUCUACCAGUUGUUCCGCCAGGGGCAUUGCUGGGU
rnacentral:rRNA from 1 species